UACGGAGGGGGCGAGCGUUGUUCGGAAUUACUGGGCGUAAAGCGCACGUAGGCGGACUAUUAAGUUGGGGGUGAAAUCCCGGGGCUCAACCCCGGAACUGCCUUCAAUACUGGUGGUCUAGAGUUCGAGAGAGGUGAGUGGAAUUCCGAGUGUAGAGGUGAAAUUCGUAGAUAUUAGGAAGAACACCAGUGGCGAAGGCGGCUCACUGGCGCGGUACUGACGCUGAGGUGCGAAAGCGUGGGGAGCAAACAGG
rnacentral:rRNA from 1 species